GACGAACGCUGGCGGCGUGCUUAACACAUGCAAGUCGAACGGUAAGGCCCUUCGGGGUACACGAGUGGCGAACGGGUGAGUAACACGUGGGUGAUCUGCCCUGCACUUCGGGAUAAGCCUGGGAAACUGGGUCUAAUACCGGAUAGGACUCCUGCCUGCAUGGGAGGGGGGGGAAAGCUUUUGCGGGGUGGGAUGGGCCCGCGGCCUAUCAGCUUGUUGGUGGGGUGAUGGCCUACCAAGGCGACGACGGGUAGCCGGCCUGAGAGGGUGACCGGCCACACUGGGACUGAGAUACGGCCCAGACUCCUACGGGAGGCAGCAGUGGGGAAUAUUGCACAAUGGGCGCAAGCCUGAUGCAGCGACGCCGCGUGAGGGAUGACGGCCUUCGGGUUGUAAACCUCUUUCAGCACAGACGAAGCGCAAGUGACGGUAUGUGCAGAAGAAGGACCGGCCAACUACGUGCCAGCCGCCGCCGUAA
rnacentral:rRNA from 1 species